UACCACCAAAGUUGGGAGCGUAGGCUGGU
rnacentral:sRNA from 1 species